rnacentral:rRNA from 1 species
AGCGAACGCUGGCGGCAGGCCUAACACAUGCAAGUCGAACGAACCCUUCGGGGUUAGUGGCGGACGGGUGAGUAACACGUGGGAACGUGCCUUUAGGUUCGGAAUAACUCAGGGAAACUUGUGCUAAUACCGAAUGUGCCCUUCGGGGGAAAGAUUUAUCGCCUUUAGAGCGGCCCGCGUCUGAUUAGCUAGUUGGUGAGGUAAUGGCUCACCAAGGCUACGAUCAGUAGCUGGUCUGAGAGGAUGACCAGCCACAUUGGGACUGAGACACGGCCCAAACUCCUACGGGAGUCAGCAGUGGGGAAUCUUGCGCAAUGGGCGAAAGCCUGAUCCAGCCAUGCCGCGUGAGUGAUGAAGGUCUUAGGAUUGUAAAAUCCUUUCACCGGUGAAGAUAAUGACUGUAGCCGGAGAAGAAGCCCCGGCUAACUUCGUGCCAGCCGCCGCCGUAACAC